AAUAAAGUAAAACAACAACAAUAUCAAUAAGCACGUUAAUGUGAGAGCAGGAAAUUUCUGUGGGAGUUCCACUUCAGACAAAGAUUUACAGGUAGUUAUUGACUACUGGGAGAAGGUGAAUUAGCAUCGCCCAGUGAUGAGCCCCCUUAUUGGUUGUCCAGAGAAAAGUGGUCAGCCUUGAAACCAUAUGCUCACAAACAACAGAAACAGACUCAUCAGGUUCUAUUUACAUAAUAUUUAAAUAGAUAGAUGAUAGAUAUAUAGACAGACAGACAGAUAUGAUAGAUAAAGAUAGAUGUGCAUGUAACAAAAGCAAUCAAGGAAAAUGGACUAUCGAGGGGUUUGAGGGAAGAUACCUGGGAUGGACUGCAGGGAAGAAAGCAGGCAGAAGGUAAUAUACUAUUUCCAUUAAAACAUUUAGAAAAUUGUAAAAAAGAAAAACCACAAAUGGAACAUGGAAAAUCAUUGGAACACCAUAAAAAGACAAAAAUCAACAAAUUAAGGGAAGAAGAAUUGGAAGCAUCAAGAAUUGGAAGAAUUACAUGACAAAGGAUCUUAGAAGUCUUUCUUCUCUCUCUACGAUGAAAAGUUUGAAUGAGAUAUAGAAAACACAACAGUGGAAGACAUUGCUGCUUGCAAAACAAAAGGAUGGGGCUUCCUGAAAAAAAAAAUAACUAGAGGAGAAAAGAUAUGAACUGUAUAACAAAGGAAUGGGGACACGAAAUGAUCUCAGGAACUACACAGCACAGAAUGUUCUAGAAUCAAAAGCCUCAUUUAUAAAGAUAGGACAAAUCAUUUUAAGUUCUAACAUCAUAUCCUGUGCUGGCACAUGGAAACAAAAAAUGCUACAAUAUACACCACAUCUAGCUACAAGGGAUUUUGAGGAGUAUGGUUCCGAGUUGCAAGAUUUUGCAAAAUAGUAAAUUGCAUUUGGCAGGAGUAAAAGCAAAAGGUGACCAAGUCAAAUUGCAUGCUUGAUCUACAGGAAUACAGGCAAGUUAACACUUACUAAAAUGCAUUAGGAAAUAUAUACUUUGUGAAUGCAGUAUGGCAGCACUUUGUGGGUUAGUUUGGUUUGGUUUGGU